CCUACGGGAGGCAGCAGUGGGGAAUAUUGCACAAUGGGCGCAAGCCUGAUGCAGCCAUGCCGCGUGUGUGAAGAAGGCCUUCGGGUUGUAAAGCACUUUCAGCGGGGAGGAAGGCGUUAAGGUUAAUAACCUUGGCGAUUGACGUUACCCGCAGAAGAAGCACCGGCUAACUCCGUGCCAGCAGCCGCGGUAAUACGGAGGGUGCAAGCGUUAAUCGGAAUUACUGGGCGUAAAGCGCACGCAGGCGGUCUGUCAAGUCGGAUGUGAAAUCCCCGGGCUCAACCUGGGAACUGCAUUCGAAACUGGCAGGCUAGAGUCUUGUAGAGGGGGGUAGAGUUCCAGGUGUAGCGGUGAAAUGCGUAGAGAUCUGGAGGAAUACCGGUGGCGAAGGCGGCCCCCUGGACAAAGACUGACGCUCAGGUGCGAAAGCGUGGGGAGCAAACAGGAUUAGAUACCCGUGUAGUC
rnacentral:rRNA from 1 species